GACGAACGCUGGCGGCGUGCUUAACACAUGCAAGUCGAACGGAAAGGCGCUGCUUUUGUGGGGUGCUCGAGUGGCGAACGGGUGAGUAACACGUGAGUAACCUGCCCUUGACUUUGGGAUAACUUCAGGAAACUGGGGCUAAUACCGGAUAGGAGCUCCUGCUGCAUGGUGGGGGUUGGAAAGUUUCGGCGGUUGGGGAUGGACUCGCGGCUUAUCAGCUUGUUGGUGGGGUAGUGGCUUACCAAGGCUUUGACGGGUAGCCGGCCUGAGAGGGCGACCGGCCACAUUGGGACUGAGAUACGGCCCAGACUCCUACGGGAGGCAGCAGUGGGGAAUAUUGCACAAUGGGCGGAAGCCUGAUGCAGCAACGCCGCGUGCGGGAUGACGGCCUUCGGGCUGUAAACCGCUUUCGCCUGUGACGAAGCGUGAGUGACGGUAAUGGGUAAGGAAGCACCGGCUAACUACGUG
rnacentral:rRNA from 1 species